rnacentral:rRNA from 1 species
UCUGAAUCUGCGAACGGCUCCGCAAACCAGUUGUAAACUAUAGCAAGCAGGCCGCGUGCCGGCUCUCACGGGCUGGCGCGCGGUCAGAUGGAUAACCCUGGUAAUUCUGAGGCUAAUACAUGAACGUAAAACCUAGUUGACCGGGUUUCGGCCUGGGAUUCUGGGGGAUGUGUGAUUGCAGGCUUGGUUUAACCGGGAAUGGGCGCACUUCCAGACCGCGCUAAAAAGGAUCGGGCUUUCGGGCCUGGCCCAGCGGCUCUUGCUGUGUGCUUCUGACCCAUCAACUAGACGGCAGCGUAAGGGACAUGCUAUGGUGACAACGGGUACAG